rnacentral:tRNA from 1 species
ACCUGGGUGGCUCAGUCGGUUGAGCACCCGACUCCGGCUCAGGUCAUGAUCUUGCGGUGCGUGGGUUUGAGCCCCAUGUCAGGCU